GUCCAGGAGAGAGGGAAAUCUCAGAAAAUAGGGAAAAGGCCCCACGGUAGCAAAAGCUGUGGCUGCCGCGUGUGCGCCCUGCGACCCGGGCUGAGCACAGGCCACGGACUCCAGCCACGAGUGGAGGGCGAGGGCCGGGUGUGCAGACUGGGGAGUGAGGCGCGGGAGGCAGAGCCACGGCCAGGCGGGAUCCUUAGGGAAUCGGGCUUUACUCUAAAGGAUCUGAAGGAGGCAGGCUAGAUGGCGAGGUAGACAAUGAAAUGGAGGUGAGUAGGAGGGACUGACUCCAGGCAGGAGAGGAGAGGUGGUGGUCGCAGGGCAGGUGGGGACGAGCAAGCCCCGCGAGGAGGGUGGGCAGGAGGCAGGCGGGGGUCUGAGGUGCGGGGCAGUACCAGGCUGAGAGUCGCCUAAAGCACACGGCCCUCCUUCCACAAGGAACACGACAAGCCUACAUAAGACCGAUGCCAUCUCUCCUUUCACUGCUACCAAAGGCCCGCACCAGGCCCGGGUCCCCAGCAACACGGCUGCAGGGUCUCCCACACUCCUCAGAGAGGCUCCCAGAGCGCGGCCUGGGCGCUAAGGACAGAGGCACGGGCGUCACCCAGCCCCACCGGCCACUCCUGACCCUGCACAAACUCUCCAGCAAGACACCUGGUCUGUUGAAUGUGGGUGACAUGCUCUGCCCUGUCAGCCACACCACAUUAAUGCUGAGCCACAGGGAAGCCUGAGGAAGUGUCACCGUGGCCACGCCCAGGCAGUGGCUGAGGCCCACGGAAAGCACUGACUUAGCAGCAACGCUGGGCCCAGCGCUAGGAGGAGGCUGAGAACAGAGACGAGGUUUCGGCAUGUUGCCCCAGAUGGUCUCAAACUACUGGACUCAAGUGAUGACCUCUCCCCCAUCUCAGCCUCCCAAAGUGCUGGGAACACAAGCAUGAGUCACUACACCUGAUCUGAAAUAAAUUUUUAAGUACAAGACAGUCUGAACAAGGAAAUACCUAAGAAAGACUUCCUUCCGAAGAAAUUCUUCUAAUCGGGGUCCACUUCUUCCCAGAGGAUCAUCAGGAACCAUAAAUAUGUCCCCCACGAAUGUAUAUUGAAGCAAUCUACAACACAGAAAAUAAUCACAGUGCUGGGGAAACACGAAGUCUUCAUUGCUGCAGGCUGAGAAGUCUCUCAAAGUAGCUACCCAGUUCCAAAGCAAUAUUUCUGGUCAGCCUAUAGAUUCUAAGACUGCUUAACUGCCCAAAGGGGAAGCAAAAAAAUAAAUAAAUAAAUAGAAACCACCCAAGUUAAACCAUUUAAAUUUCUGUUUUGGACACAAAUACAAGGACUAAGAAACGUGGUCACAGCUGGCCCUCAAAUUUCUCAAAGACUUUCAGAUUUCUAGCCCAGCCUGGAAAGCAGCUUCUUCUCCUACUGUAACUUUCAAUAUAACUUUCAAAAACAAGAUGUAAAGACUGUCUGUCAGCUCAGGAACCAACAGGUACUCAAUGAAGGUUUAAUUUUAGAAUAAAAGUGGUAAUAAGUGUGCCCAUAGGCAAACCUACUGAAAACAACCUUUUAAAAAAGAAAAACAAUAUAUGAAGAAAGAAAAUCUGAGGUCAGCAGAGCAUUAUUCAUCAAAUCUGGGGAAGAUGGAAAAAAAAAAAAUAGUCCCAAGUGCCUGUGUUUGUUGCCCAGGUCUUGUUUCUGCCUUGCUUUUGUGGAUUCCGAAAGCAACGGGUUGGUCUGAAAAUAUGAAUCUUGUAUUCUCGUGCAUUUAAAGCCUCCAGCAUGCACAGGUACUCUGAGCUGCCUGGCAAAGCCUUUUUAACCAUCUUCCAAUCAUGACCUAAGCCACAAACAACUUGAAGUUUCCCUGGAACAUUUCAUAAUUCAUAAAAAGUUCAAAACCUUCACGAGUGGCCUGCCGGUCAGUCACGAAGUA